UGGGGAAUUUUGGACAAUGGGGGAAACCCUGAUCCAGCCAUCCCGCGUGUGCGAUGAAGGCCUUCGGGUUGUAAAGCACUUUUGGCAGGAAAGAAACGUCAUGGGUUAAUACCCCGUGAAACUGACGGUACCUGCAGAAUAAGCACCGGCUAACUACGUGCCAGCAGCCGCGGUAAUACGUAGGGUGCAAGCGUUAAUCGGAAUUACUGGGCGUAAAGCGUGCGCAGGCGGUUCGGAAAGAAAGAUGUGAAAUCCCAGAGCUCAACUUUGGAACUGCAUUUUUAACUACCAGGCUAGAGUGUGUCAGAGGGAGGUGAAAUUCCGCGUGUAGCAGUGAAAUGCGUAGAUAUGCGGAGGAACACCGAUGGCGAAGGCAGCCUCCUGGGAUAACACUGACGCUCAUGCACGAAAGCGUGGGGAGCAAACAGG
rnacentral:rRNA from 1 species